rnacentral:rRNA from 1 species
AGUGAACGCUGGCGGUAGGCCUAACACAUGCAAGUCGAACGGCAGCACAGUAAGAGCUUGCUCUUACGGGUGGCGAGUGGCGGACGGGUGAGGAAUACAUCGGAAUCUACUUUUUCGUGGGGGAUAACGUAGGGAAACUUACGCUAAUACCGCAUACGACCUACGGGUGAAAGCAGGGGAUCUUCGGACCUUGCGCGAUUGAAUGAGCCGAUGUCGGAUUAGCUAGUUGGCGGGGUAAGGGCCCACCAAGGCGACGAUCCGUAGCUGGUCUGAGAGGAUGAUCAGCCACACUGGAACUGAGACACGGUCCAGACUCCUACGGGAGGCAGCAGUGGGGAAUAUUGGACAAUGGGCGCAAGCCUGAUCCAGCCAUCCCGCGUGGGUGAAGAAGGCCUUCGGGUUGUAAAGCCCUUUUGUUGGGAAAGAAAAGCAGCAGGUUAAUACCCCGCUGUUCUGACGGUACCCAAAGAAUAAGCACCGGCUAACUUCGUG